rnacentral:lncRNA from 1 species
AGUUAACAGUUAUAGUUUUACCAUAGACAAAGACCACUGGUUGAUGCUCGUCAUAAGAAAAUGAACAUGGCCAACUGUCGCCAACAUUCUUGCUACCCUUCCUCCGAUUUAUCCAACCCCGUAUUACUUGUCCUGCCCUCUAGUGUACGUUUUCAUCUCUACGUUCUGUUUCCUGCUCGCCAACCGCCCGUCAUUGUUCGUGGCAGUUCGUAGAGUCCUCGACGUCGUGAAUUUUCAAUUUUGCAAAAGAAAUGUUGUUGCCGACAGAAAAAGAUAAGCUUUGUAUAUUGUUUCCUUUCUGAUGAUGAUGGAAAUCAUAGAAUUGGGCUGCUGGUGCCAAAACAAAAAGAUUGUGGUUGGCCAAGGAAAUAUAACCCAUUUUCUGAUUCCAACAAAGAAAAUCGUCAAGCUCUCACUUCCAAAUCUUCUAAUAAUGGGGUGGAACAUGUAAAUGCAUUCCAAUAUCUGAGCACUGGAAUUCGUCAGCCUCCCAUUUCCAAAGCUUCAAAUAAUGGUACACUCAUAUUUUAUCUAUUCUGCCAGCCCCGUGAAUACUCUGAGAUCACUGAUAGUUCCAAUAGGUCAGGUAAUGUGUUUGCAGGGUAAAUGUGUCCAAGCUCUAAGGCUAGGGCACUGUAGCAUUUAAUUACCUUGGCGGUUUGGCACAUAUGUCAAAUAUAUCCCCCAUCAUAUCCCAUUCCAUAUGAUCCAAAUGAAGAAUAUGCAAUAAUUUAUCUUGGUUAAACCUUUGUGACCCAUACCAUCAUAUGCCUCGUUAUCCAAAUGAAAAAAAAAGACUAGGCAAUUGAUAAUGAUUAAUGAAGAAGAAAUGAAAUAUAUACGAAAAUUGA